rnacentral:lncRNA from 1 species
CAAAAUAUUAGAUGGAAUUGAAAGAUUUAUAAACCUUAAGAUUAUACAUACUUACGCACAGAUAAAUUUGGUAUUUCAAUUAGCUCCAUAUUGUCAAUUAACAUGAAUUGAUGUUCAACAAAAAAGAGGGACGAAAGAUACCAGAGGGACAGUCAAACUCAUAAAUCGAAAAUAAACUGACAACGCCAUGGCUAAAAAGGAAACAGACAAACAAUAGUACACAUGACACAACAUAGAAAACUAAAGAAUAAGCAGCACGAACCCUACCAAAAACUAGGGUUGAUCUCAAGUGCUCCGGGAGGGUAAGCAGGUCCUGCUCCACAUGUGGCACCCG